rnacentral:rRNA from 1 species
UUUUUUAGAAAUGAAUUUAAUUCAUAUAUUUUAUUUUUAAUUUCUGUUGUUUGUUUUAUUUAUUUUUAUUUGAUAUUAAGAUUAAGGGGGAUUAGCUCCUUAUUUUACUUUUAUAAUUGGUGUUUUUAUUUGGUUUUGUGGAUUUUAUGUUGAUUUUCAAUUUGAGUAUGUUAAAAUUUUAUUUGUUUUUUUGUUUAUUUGUUUGUGGUUUAAAUUAUUUAUUGAAAUGUUUUCUUUAUUUUGGUUUGUAUGGUAAUUAUUGUGUAAUUAGUAAAUUUUGUUUUAUGUUGUUUGUUUUUAUGUUAAUUUCUUUUUAGGAAUUAGGCAAAGAGUUUCAUGUCCGCCUGUUUAACAAAAACAUCUCUUCUUGUUAGUUUUUGAAGUAUGGCCUGCCCACUGACGUUUUGAGUUGAAGGGCCGCGGUAUUUUGACCGUGCAAAGGUAGCAUAAUCAUUAGUUCUUUAAUUGUGAUCUGGUAUGAAUGGCUUGACGAGACAUGAGCUGUCUUGAGGAUAUUGGUUUAUUGAAUUUGGUUUUUGAGUUAAAAUUCUUAAAUGUUUUUAUGGGACGAGAAGACCCUAUAGAGUUUUACAUUUACUUAUUUAUUUUAUUUUGUUUGUGUUGUAUUUUGUAAGUUGGUUAAGUGUUUUGUUGGGGUGAUGGGAGGAAUAUUAUUUAACUCCUCUUUGUUUUUUUAUAUUUAUGUAUAUUUAUUUUGAUCC